GUUGGACUAACAAUAUGAAGGUCGGAGAUGCAUAUUUGAGAACUCUGUGAACUACAAAUCCUGCAUUACCUCAGUGGCAUGAACGAAAUAUCCUGAUGGAAUGAGCUGAAGCAGGAAGACUCAUCAGAAUGUAAAACAUGAAAUCUAAUUUUCCUGACUGGAAAUCUUGCACUUGGUGCAGCAUCCCACGGUCAUGUGAUCGCCAUUUGCGACCUUCCCAGCCUGCUUCUGACCAGCAACAUCAACGGAAGAAGCUGG